UACGGGGGGGGCAAGCGUUGUUCGGAAUUACUGGGCGUAAAGGGCUCGUAGGCGGCCAACUAAGUCAGACGUGAAAUCCCUCGGCUUAACCGGGGAACUGCGUCUGAUACUGGAUGGCUUGAAUCCGGGAGAGGGAUGCGGAAUUCCAGGUGUAGCGGUGAAAUGCGUAGAUAUCAGGAGGAACACCAAUUGCGAAGGCAGCUCGCUGGGACGGUACUGACGCUGAGACGCGAAAGCGUGGGGAGCAAACAGG
rnacentral:rRNA from 1 species